GUUCCUCCUCCCCGGGAGUGUGAAUGAGUCACCGUGCAGGCAUUUCAGCAGCACCUGUGUGGGGUGUGGAGCUGCGGCAGAGGAGGGGAGAGAGGGGCAGGCUGGCCAGGAGGCCAGCUCGGGGGCUGCCCCACUCUCACCCAGGCCGGCUUCCCUAGAUGCCAGCUGUCCCGCUUCUGCCCCGACACUUGUUUUGGCCUUGGGAGGCUGUUUCAUGUGGAAAUCAUUUUCUGUUUAGCUGCUGUCUUCCCAAGCAGACAACUUGUUUUUUGUCUGUCUGCCAGAGGAUCUGGUCGAUCUUGGUCCCUGCUGUAUCCCCAGCACCCAGACCAUUGCCCAGCACAUGAAAAAAUGGCAGAAAAAGGAAGCUGCAGCUUCUGCCCUUCUCUUGGAUCACUCACUCUGGGGCGAGCCCUCAACUGUAUCGUGAGAACACUUAAGAAACCCUGUGCAGACAUCCGCGUGGGGAAGAAGCAAGGCCUCCUGCUGACAGCUCUGCAUCAACCUGCUGGCCACGCGAGGGAGCCAUCUUGGAAGUGGAUCCUCCAGCCCCAGUCAAGCCUGCAGAUGAGUGCAGCCUCGGCCGGUGUCUCGAGUGCAACCUCAUCAGAGAGUCUGUCCAUGAACCACGCAGCUAAGCCACUCCCAAAUCCCUGAGCCACAGAAACUACGUGAG
rnacentral:lncRNA from 1 species